CCGUAAAAAUCGACUCUAAAAACUGAUAUAUGGUUGGGCGUAAACGGAUUUGGGAUUUAUAUGUUCAAUUUCGUCGGUUAUAUGCAAUUUUGAAUGGAUGAGUCGAUUUUCAUAAAUUCAUUCGUCGAUGAUUACACACGCUCGAAUACUUAUACAUAAAAUUAUUAAUUUCAUUUAAUUCUGGUAUAGUAAUUGUGAACAUAGA
rnacentral:lncRNA from 1 species